GCUAAACGCGAAGAACCUUACCAAGGCUUGACAUACACGAGAACGGGCCAGAAAUGGUCAACUCUUUGGACACUCGUGAACAGGUGGUGCAUGGUUGUCGUCAGCUCGUGUCGUGAGAUGUUGGGUUAAGUCCCGCAACGAGCGCAACCCUCGUCGCAUGUUGCCAGCACGUUAUGGUGGGGACUCAUGUGAGACUGCCGGGGUCAACUCGGAGGAAGGUGGGGAUGACGUCAAAUCAUCAUGCCCCUUAUGUCUUGGGCUUCACGCAUGCUACAAUGGCCGGUACAAAGGGCUGCGAUGUCGUAAGGCGGAGCGAAUCCCAAAAAGCCGGUCUCAGUUCGGAUUGAGGUCUGCAACUCGACCUCAUGAAGUCGGAGUCGCUAGUAAUCGCAGAUCAGCAACGCUGCGGUGAAUACGUUCCCGGGUCUUGUACACACCG
rnacentral:rRNA from 1 species